CGGGCGGAAACCUCGUAUGUCCAAAUUUGGUCAAUUUCAUAUUUUUUCACAAAUCGAUGUUAUUGGUCAGUCUCCACGUGGGUCUGUUAUUUUUACAAAUUAUUACCCAAUCGAAAGUGUUGAAAAUAGCUUGUGAGCAAACCUCUUAACUCCAUUGGACACUUCAACUGUGUGUCAAACCUCGUAACUCCACCCCUUCUUCACUUGGCGCCGCUGCACUGCCUGGGAGCUUUGCGGCAUUUUUUCUCCUCAAGAUUGGAAGUCGCUGAGCAACACGUCCUCUGAGAUUUAUCUGGUGGUCUGGAGGAAGAGGAGGCCUCACUCCUGGCUCCAGAGCAGGUGCAGUUUGACACGGAUUUCUCUGGUGGUCUGGAGGAAGAGGAGGCCUCACUGCUGGCUCCAGAGCAGGUGCAGUUUGACACGGUUUUCCAUGGUGCAGGCGAUGAGGACUCGGAUGCACAGCAUUCAUGCUCAGAUGCUGAGGAAGACGCACCUCCAAGGAAAAGACUGAGAGCUUACAGAUCUUACACCGUGUCCUAACUACACGCGAUGUGACGCGACGCCGCGUCACGUAAUAAAAGGUACAACAACAAUGGAACGAUGGACUUCAAAAUCAACCACUCUGAUUACUGGCAUUCACAUCCAAGUCACCAACUCCGAAACUCCACCUCAGACAGCCACACAGUCACCCCCACUCUAUUCAGGCCGCCUGAAGAUCACAGUGCUGAAAUUCAAGACCUGAAGGAAGUCAUCCCAAAGGACUUUCACAGCUUUUACGACAAUUUACUUCACUAGCUUAAUAUAGGAUGCAGUAUUAAAGGAGAACUGGCAAAAUGAUCCUGGGGUGUAAUAACACAUUGGUAUCGAGUUUUAU